rnacentral:rRNA from 1 species
CUUUAGUGGCGAACGGGUGCGUAAUACGUGAGAAUCUGCCCUUAGGAGGAGAAUAACUUCUGGAAACGGUUGCUAAGUCUCCAUAUGCCGAGAGGUGAAAUAGUUUAUACUGCCUAGGGAUGAGCUCACGCCUGAUUAGCUUGUUGGUAAGGUAAUGGCUUACCAAGGCCACGAUCAGUAGCUGGUUUGAGAGAACGAUCAGCCACACUGGGACUGAGACACGGCCCAGACUCCUCCGGGAGGCAGCAGUGAGGAAUUUUCCGCAAUGGGCGAAAGCCUGACGGAGCAAUACCGCGUGAGGGAUGAAGGAUUUUGGUCUGUAAACCUCUUUUCUCAAGAAAGAAGUUCUGACGGUACCUGAGGAAUAAGCAUCGGCUAACUCCGUGCCAGCAGCCGCGGUAAUACGGGGGAUGCAAGCGUUAUCCGGAAUCAUUGGGCGUAAAGCGCCUGUAGGUUGUUUAAUAAGUCUGUUGUUAAAGACUAGGGCUUAACCCUAGGAAAGCAAUGGAAACUGCUAGACUUGAGUAUGAUAGGGGUA